AAAAGGGAAAGAAACAACCUCUCUCUUUUUAUUAUCUUUGAAGUGUUGCUGUCAUGACAACAUCAUUUUUAAGAGUUAACAACAAUUUAUUUUCAUGCUAAAGGCGCAAACCUCACUAAGAGCAUUAAUAUUUCACUAGUGAUUUGUCCAUCAUACAUUGCAUAUUCAUGCGACAUUUUUGUCCCCUUCUAGUGGCACCGCUAGUUGAUCAACUGAAGUCUUAGCAUCGCAGCUAAUGCAGUAGCAAAGAAUUUCAACAAGAUUGCCAGUAAAACCGCAUGUCCCAUCUUGGUACUUCUGUUUUAUGCAAAAAUUCAAACAUUUUAUACCAUCACAACGACCAGGAAGUUUGUAGCGGUGUUGAUUACACUUAGCUUCUGUACCUGUGGUAAUAAAAUUCCAUGAGGACAUAAAAUAUUUGAACUAAAGCUUUUCUACUAUGUUCUUUACUUACUGUAACAGAAGAUGACGACUAAUAUGAACAUACAUACAACAACCACUGCUGCCUUGUGUGCCAUGGUUAUACUUGGAUUGGCGACUUGAGAUAUAGAAAGGUCAGUGUUGGAUCGAUAGCUUGA
rnacentral:lncRNA from 1 species